UCCAAAUUUCUGCUUUGCAUUUUUGCUUUCGACCAUGGGAAUGCACUACCUCGCCAAGAAUUUAUCUACCUUCAAGAGCUUCCUUCCACGGAAAGGCUCUUCUGAAAUUAAGAGCAAAGAGGUAGUCUUCCACGAACAGGAAUUAAGGUAUGUAACAGAGUAGUAUGUACCAGUUGAUAUGUUGAAGGCCAUCCAUUAAAGGUCCAUUUUGUUUGUAUCAGUUUUUUUCUUUGAGUUAAGUCCUUUGUUCAUAUUACAUGAACAAUUGAAAAUAUGAAUGUGUUCCUGAUUUUUUUCUUUAACAUGGACUAUGUAGUUUGUAUUUUAAGGUAAUCAAGACUGUUUAACAGAGCAGCAUGUUCCAGGUAUUUUUUCUUUAACUGUGCAGUUUAAGAAAAAGUUGUGGUACUUCUCCUUUUCAAGUAAAGUUUAAGAAAAAGGUGUGGUACUUCUCCUAAUCAAAUGUUAUUGUGAUAGCUUUAAAAAAAUGAAACCAGUAAAAAAACACACAAACUCUCAAAAUUCCAUUAAAGCUAACCAUAAACAUAAAACUGGAAAGGCAUGAUAAAUGAAUAUAUAAAAUAUAAUUUAAGUGCAAAGAGCACAUACCUACAGAGUGUGGGAAUGCUGUUAUAUUCACCCUGCAAGAUGCCAUUAAAAAUGUUUUCAGUGAAUGGGAAAUGGAUGAUGUUAUCAGUGAAUGUGAGUGUGAAUGUAUCAGUGAAUGUGAAAAGGUUUUAUUUGAGUGUUAAGUGACUAAACCAAAAUUAAAACUUCACUCACAUAUAUUUAGAAUCCAUUGUUGGGUAGAUUUUGUUUGAGUUCUUUUGCAGGAAUGGAUCUUUUAAGGUAGAAAAACUCACACAUCAGUUAGAGUGGGACAAACUUAUGACUUUAGUAUGCUUACAAGAAUCUCAAGAAGAUUUUUUUUUCAAGAAUGGAUCUUCUAAGGUUGAAGACCUUAAGACCAAACAAAGGCUCUCAUUUCAUAGGCUAGGUCACAAGUUCACACAGUGAAAGGACCUAUGCUCAAAUUGUCAUGUUGUCUGUGUAACAUGUACAUAGGUUAACCUUAGUGUAAAUUUGUGCACAUCCAGGAUAUGUAGUAGCAUUACAAUAGCAAUUCCUUAUUUUUGUUUGUGUAAAUCAUCGCAGGAAUGAAAUUCUAUUACAUUUAUGAUUGGUAGAUACCCUACAUAAAAUUGCUAAAGUCCCUAAUUACAUGUGUUUUUUUUAAUCUUAGGCAUAGCAUAAGCAUAUAUCAUGUGGCUAAAAUAACAAAAUGUAAGCAAAAAUUUGGAAGAUACAAUCACUUACAGUGGCUAUACUGCCCAGGAUGGUAUCUGGGAGGAUGAGUCCUUUGAAACUUAAAGGCUGAACUAUAAUAACAAGAGUUAGUUAAUCACAUUGAAAUUUGUAGAUAUUAAAAAAAAAAACAAUUUCAAGAAAAUGUAUUCUCCAUAUUGCUAAAUCUAAAUACUUAGGAUAGCAUAAUGAAAUAUAGAAUUUCAAGUCUAAGCAAAACACACACUUUAAGAUUGAACAGUCAAGCUAUUAGUCAGAAGUUGAACCUACUCCUUAUCCAAAAAUGUCAAGCAAACUGCCUAGGACUUCAGAUCAAAGAUGACUUCAGAUCAAAGAUUUGGUUGGAGUGAUUAUGCUAUUCAGUCCCCAA